GACGUAGGGCGCGAGCGUUGUCCGGAUUUAUUGGGCGUAAAGAGCUCGUAGGCGGCUUGUCGCGUCGGCUGUGAAAACCCGCGGCUCAACUGUGGGCGGGCAGCUGAUACGGGCAGGCUGGAGUUCGGUAGGGGAGACUGGAAUUCCUGGUGUAGCGGUGAAAUGCGUAGAUAUCAAGAGGAACACCUGCGGCGAAGGCGGGUUGCUGGGCCGACACUGACGCUGAGGCGCGAAAGCUAGGGGAGCGAACGGG
rnacentral:rRNA from 1 species